AUGUGACGCUCAGAGGGCAGCUCCAUAGAGUUGACUCUUCCAGCGUAAGAGACCCCCGGACUAAACUCCAGUAGACGUCCUUGCUCCCCUUUUUAAAAUGUGAUGGUUAUUCUUGGGUAUUAAUUUGACCACAUCUAAAAUUAACUAAAACCCAAGUGACUGGACUUGCCUUGAUUGAAUCAUUAGAGGUGGGAAGAUCCAUCUGAAAUCUGGAUCUUUUGUGUGGGAAGAUCCACCAUAAAUCUGGGACUCACACCUUCUGCUGGCAGCCUACAUAAAUGUUAUGGGAGAAGGAAACUUUGGCUAUUUGCCUGCUUGCCCUUGCUCUCACUACAAGUUCAUUCCUUCACCGGCAUUGAAACCUACUUCUUUGGAAUUCAAACAUACACUGAAGACCAGCCUCCGCUUUCCCCACAAGCCUGAUGAAACGAAAUCACACCAGGAGAGAAGUUUCCAAUCAUAAGGUAAAGGUUAAGGCCAGCCGAAGAGACUGUCUUCAGUAGGAAGGGCUGUUACCCAUAUUAAACCUAAAGCAGGAAAGAAACAGACACUAUGAAGUUAGUAACUGUCGCUCAUUCAACGCUCUGACAUUGAGCAUGGCGG